rnacentral:rRNA from 1 species
UACGUAGGGUGCAAGCGUUAUCCGGAAUUAUUGGGCGUAAAGGGCGCGUAGGCGGCGUGUUAAGUCAGCUGUGAAAUCUCCGAGCUUAACUCGGAACGGUCAGCUGAUACUGAUGUGCUAGAGUGCAGAAGGGGCAAUCGGAAUUCUUGGUGUAGCGGUGAAAUGCGUAGAUAUCAAGAGGAACACCUGAGGUGAAGACGGGUUGCUGGGCUGACACUGACGCUGAUGCGCGAAAGCCAGGGGAGCAAACGGG